UCCCAGUUCGGAUUGUAGUCUGCAACCCGACUACAUGAAGCUGGAAUCGCUAGUAAUCGCGGAUCCGAAUGCCGCGGUGAAUACGUUCCCGGGUCUUGUACACGCCGCCCGUCACACCAUGGGAGUCGGAAAUGCCCGAAGUCUGUGACCCAACCGGAAGGAGGGAGCAGCCGAAGGCAGGUCGGAUGACUGGGGUGAAGUCGUAACAAGGUACC
rnacentral:rRNA from 1 species